GGUGAACGCUGGCGGUAGGCCUAACACAUGCGAGUCGAACGGCAGCACAGUAAGAGCUUGCUCUUACGGGUGGCGAGUGGCGGACGGGUGAGGAAUACAUCGGAAUCUACUUUUUCGUGGGGGAUAACGUAGGGAAACUUACGCUAAUACCGCAUACGACCUACGGGUGAAAGCAGGGGAUCUUCGGACCUUGCGCGAUUGAAUGAGCCGAUGUCGGAUUAGCUAGUUGGCGGGGUAAAGGCCCACCAAGGCGACGAUCCGUAGCUGGUCUGAGAGGAUGAUCAGCCACACUGGAAGUGAGACACGGUCCAGACUCCUACGGGAGGCAGCAGUGGGGAAUAUUGGACAAUGGGCGCAAGCCUGAUCCAGCCAUACCGCGUGGGUGAAGAAGGCCUUCGGGUUGUAAAGCCCUUUUGUUGGGAAAGAAAAGCAGCAGGUUAAUACCCCGCUGUUCUGACGGUACCCAAAGAAUAAGCACCGGCUAACUUCGUG
rnacentral:rRNA from 1 species